GAUGAACGCUAGCGGCAGGCUUAACACAUGCAAGUCGAGGGGUAACAUUGGUGCUUGCAUCAGAUGACGACCGGCGCACGGGUGCGUAACGCGUAUAGAACCUACCUUUUACAGAGGGAUAGCCUUUAGAAAUGAAGAUUAAUACCUCAUGGUAUUGAGAAAUCGCAUGAUUACUUAAUUAAAGAUUUAUCGGUAAAAGAUGGCUAUGCGUCCUAUUAGCUAGAUGGUAAGGUAACGGCUUACCAUGGCAACGAUAGGUAGGGGCCCUGAGAGGGGGAUCCCCCACACUGGUACUGAGACACGGACCAGACUCCUACGGGAGGCAGCAGUGAGGAAUAUUGGGCAAUGGAGGCAACUCUGACCCAGCCAUGCCGCGUGCAGGAAGACUGCCCUAUGGGUUGUAAACUGCUUUUAUACAGGAAGAAACCACUCUACGUGUAGAGUGCUGACGGUACUGUAAGAAUAAGCACCGGCUAACUCCG
rnacentral:rRNA from 1 species